CCUACGGGUGGCUGCAGUGGGGAAUAUUGCACAAUGGGGGAAACCCUGAUGCAGCGACGCCGCGUGAAGGAAGAAGUAUUUCGGUAUGUAAACUUCUAUCAGCAGUGAAGAAACUGACGGUACCUGACUAAGAAGCACCGGCUAAAUACGUGCCAGCAGCCGCGGUAAUACGUAUGGUGCAAGCGUUAUCCGGAUUUACUGGGUGUAAAGGGAGCGUAGACGGAGAGGCAAGUCUGAAGUGAAAGCCCGGGGCUCAACCCCGGGACUGCUUUGGAAACUGCAGUUCUAGAGUGCCGGAGAGGUAAGCGGAAUUCCUAGUGUAGCGGUGAAAUGCGUAGAUAUUAGGAGGAACACCAGUGGCGAAGGCGGCUUACUGGACGGUGACUGACGUUGAGGCUCGAAAGCGUGGGGAGCAAACAGGAUUAGAUACCCGGGUAGUC
rnacentral:rRNA from 1 species